rnacentral:tmRNA from 1 species
GAGGUGUACUGGGCUUCGACGGGGGUUGCGAAAUCGCCUGGCGCAUGCCGAGGGGCAGCUUCUCCUCGUAAAUCCAGCGGCAAACACAUUAGUCGCCAACGACGACAACUACGCUCUCGCCGCUUAAGGCGUAAGCCCCGAACCCACUUGUGCCCGUGCUCGUGGAUGUAGGGUCACUAUUACGGGGAACCAGCCCGCGCGGCCGCCUGUCUGCCGUGGUUGAACUCACAGGCUGGUUCCCGGUGCGCUUCGCACACCGUGCUGCCGGGGAACGAGACACAACGGUGGGCUAAGCAUGUAGUGCCGGGGAUGGAGUGCCUUCGGACGCGGGUUCAACUCCCGCCACCCCACCA